rnacentral:lncRNA from 1 species
CAAAUACCACGUCAUAAAUUAUUUACCACACAGUCAUGCCGAAUCCUUGAAAUAGUUCCUAUUUAAGUGUUGGCAGAAUGUAAGUGAAAAACAUCCUAAAUUUUACAUAAUUUAUAUUGCUUGAUAUAGUCAUCAUGGUCAUGUAAUGUUUUUUUUUUACAAAAAUGUACCAUGUUUCAUUGUUUGUACUCUCAGUCAUUGUUAAUUGUCAGGUCAGUUGUAAAUUGUUGUAUUGCACAUGGUAAGCAUUUUUUCUCAAUUUAUAAAGGCACCCAAAGGUGUGGUAUAUGAUUGCCAAUGGGACAACUCUCCACAACUUGUGGCACAAGAGACCAAAUGACACAGAAAUUAACAUUUCUAUAGGCAGUGAUAGGUCAAUGUACAGCCUACAAGAAUGAGCAAAGCCCAUAGUGCAGUCAGCUAUAAAAGGCCCAGAAAUGACAAAUAUAUAACAAUUCAAGCGAGAAAACUUACUUACUUAUUUGUACGAAAAAAAAACACCAAAAAUAAUAAAUAUGUAUUAAACAUGUCAUCAACAAACGACAACCACUGAAUUGCUAUUCUCCUGAUUUGAGACAUGCACAUACAUACAGAAUGUGGCGGGGUUAAACAUGUUAGCUGGAUACCUACCGUCCCCUAACCUGGGACAGUGGUGCAACAAUACAACACCAUAACAAACUAUAAGAAUCAAUUGAAAUAGACCUAAUAUAUUGUAAGUAAAGUUAGUAAAGAAAUCUUUAUUUACAGUUUGGUUGCAUAUAUAUAUAAAUAUUAAUAGCAAGGAACAUUCAUGCUUUUAAUUAGAGCUCUUUAAGGAUUAUGUACAUUUUUGCUAACCAUGGAAAUUUCCGAGAAAGUCCAGCCUUUCCUUUAUACUGUACAUUUUGUAAUAUUUGACCAUUCUAUAUACAUAACAGGCUAUUAUUUGAACUUGGAAUUAUUUUUAAUUAUGGAAUUUGCUUGUUUUCUUGUUAUUGAAAUUUUUAAUAAAUUCCAUGUUUAUUGUGUACUGAAAUGUUCUGUGCUGCGCACAAGGCUUUCUAUUUCAAAGAAAAUAGUUUAUUUUCAAUAGAAUGUACUGUGCCGCGCACAACACUAUCUAACCAAAAUACAUUUUAUGGAAAGUGUUAUUCACCGCUCAAAAGAUUAUAAUACCAAAUAAACAUGGAAUUAAUUAAAAAUUUUAAACACAAGAAAUUAUGCAAAUUCCAUAAUUAAAAAUAAUUCCAAGUUCAAAUAAUAGCCUGUUACAUGUACAUUUUUUUGUACAUGUACAAUGUAUGCUUGAUAGAUAGAGCAUAAUUGCAUACCUUCUAACAUGUAGCAAUAAUUUCCUUUGUAUGACAAGUUUAUAAAUCAAAUUCAUGAAAUUAUUGGUUACAACAAAUGUAAAUAUGGGCCAAUUCAAAUACAUCUUCUAAUGUGCAUUCAACUUUAGUAACUCACCAGGAGGAUUCUUGGAAUGUAAAGGUUAGUCAGGCCUUUUUGUAAAUAACGGACAAUUGCAUCCCAUUAUCCCUAUUUUCUAUGGCAUGCAAUAAUUUAAAACAAUAAAUAAUGUACAUGUAUCUGCGUUGAAAGGAGUUUUCCCUUGGGUAACAUGCAUAUGUGCAAAAUGGCACAUCUCUAAUACAUGUAUUCAUUAUUUUGGCUGUUUUGACAUUUUUGAUAUUAUUGAACUAAAAACAUUCCAAUUUUUUUUCUUCAAACCUGUAGAUUUUGAGUGUUGCAGAUGCUGUACAUUAUGCAGAGGUAUGUGAAAUGGAAAGAAAGAGAUAUAUGAACAUACAGUGACUGUUUUGAAUUUAAGGUGUACCGGUAAGUACAUUGUAUAUAUAUAUAUAAUAUAAUUAUUAAAAAAAUGAUAUAUCAGCUUAUCAGUGAAUGUUAAAACAUUUAUUAGAGUUCUAUAUUUCAGUUAAAGUAACAAUUUUUGUUAUUUGUGUAUAAAGCAAGGCAAAUGUAAAAGUUAAUUUGUUAAUACAUGUAGUAUAUUACUCAUCUUACAAUAUCAUAUUUAUAGAAAAAAAUAAUUUUAUUGGACUGUUUUCCUCUGUUGGAUAUGCAAUUGAUAUUAAAAUGAAUCAUCAGUAACACAAAAAAACUUUAUCUUCAGAGGCAGAUUAAGGGGGCAGUGGCCAAACCCCACCCCACCCCUUUUUUUGUGGGUUGAUUAUAUAGUGGGUCUCAUUGGAGUCUGAAUGUGACGCGGGAUUGCCGAUUUUUUGUAAGCGUAACAUGUGAAAGUCAAAUUAUUGUGUCUGGAAAACGGGAAAUGAGGUCUAGCGGGACCCAGGAAAAUAACAAAAAAAUGAGAAUUGCUUACGUACAUAGUGUAAGCGGGAUACGGGAAUCUGACAAAACAGUAAGCGGAAUCCGGGAUCGGAACCCCCCCCCCCCCCCAAUAAUGAGACCCCCUAUAUAGGGAAUUACUGAAGCAUGACUGGAAUGGGACCCCUCUGAUGACUAUUUCUGGAUACAAAUGAUAUUUAUAUUAUAUAAUAACAUGCAAUUGUUUUAAAUUCUUGAUUUAUAUUAUCCGAUAUCUAUAUGACUCUUCUCUUUUUCAGGUAAAAAUGUCGAGCUACAAAUUGUACCAAAAAAGAUAUUGAAAAUUUUAAAACUGUUUUAACAAGGGCAUCAAAAAAUAGAAAAAAAAGAACAAUACCAGGGCUGAACUUUUGUGGCUGCAUGCAAUUAUUUCUAAAAUACCAGGAAACAAGAUGUAGCUGCACAGAAGACACGGCAGAUCAUGAAAUUGCAUAUAAAAUAAGGAAUGCUAGAAUCCAAGAAAUCUUUUAACCAAGUCAAGUGUUUAUAAGACAUGUAAUCAUGAAAAUACUAACACACAUAUAUUAGUAUUCACAGUCACAUGUAAUAUCCCAAAUAUAAGAACUAUAUGGUAUGUGUGACUAUGUCAUGUUACAACAUGUAUGCUCAGAAUAUUUUAAUGUCACAAGGAUAUGAACUGGAUAAAUGAAAUAUUGUCAACCAUUUAAAUAAAGCAGACUGGCUAACAUAAAAAUCAACUGUCUAUAGAUGUGAAAGUUCAAGUUGAA